rnacentral:lncRNA from 1 species
UUUUUUUUUUGUGUGUGCUGUUGGUCUGUGGGGCCAAGAACGAUGCAAAUUGCCAAACUGUUGGGACCAAGAACGAUGCAAAUUGCCAAAUUAUAUCACCCAAUAAAGAAAUUAUACUGCUACCAUGGAGAACCUUCGAACCUCGCCAAGUUAUAUCACCCAACAAAGAAAUUCGUGACGAAAAUAAUAAAAUGAAGAGUAACGGAGAUUUCUUCUGAAGCAUAUGAACAAGAUACCAUAUGCAGGUAUGGAAAAAUAUGAUGAUGGUCAAAAAGUCUUACAAGCCAGAUUGUUAUUUAGGAUAUAUAAACGCGAAGUAUAGAAGGCGCAGAAAAUUUAAUGUAAAAAUAAAAUUACUUGACAGCUGUGGGAUUUGAACCCACGCCCUUUCGGACCAGAGCCUAAAUCUGGCGCCUUAGACCACUCGGCCAAACUGUCUUUUGUUGACAGCUCUAGGGGUAAAGUUUUAUAUCAACGUACGCGUCAACAAAGGCUUAGCGCCAAAUACAAUCCGGAGGGGAAACUCAGAUCGCUAUAUUGAUUGGUCAAAUAACACGACUGCCAGUGUUCGGUGCUGUAUUAUGCCUGAUCUGAUAACGUUGAGUUUUGCACGGCCAGUGAUAGGCGCGAAGGAAAAAAGGCUUACUCCCCAAUUGCUCAACACUAAUCAAAGGGAUCUAUCCGUGGAUCAUGCUCGCUUGCCAUCGCCAUUCCUGUGCACAAGCAUGUCGGGCACAUAACCUGGCAAACAUGGAGACCCAAGAAUCAACAUACUUUAUGGAGGCAAUCAUGUUAUUGGUAGAAGAUGAUGUGAAGUGCCUGAUCUGUUCUCUUCUGUAACCAGGAACAAUUUUUGUGCAAAACUGAAUUGAAGCACUAAAUAUCUGUUUAAUCUGCACUAUCACCUUGCAAUUUUACCUAAAGACAAAUACCUAAAGAAUAAUAACCGUUCCAUUGUUUCCGAUUCAAUCUUCUACCAGCAUCAAACUGAUAAAUGUGAAACACAAUGGCAAUAGACAGCAUACCUUUCCAGCUCCUGAACAACUCUGACACCUUCCAUUCAUUGACCGCAUAUUAUUCCCUGAUAGUGAAAAAGGCUUUGUGCUCAAUAACAUCCCGCUAGCAGAACAGCGAGCACACGGCAAGUAUCCUACAUUGGGGAAGCAAGAUCAGACAUGUGAGUACAGAGUUACUGUUACUGUAUUAGGUACACAGGCAAAACAUCAUCUCAGAUAUAUCCAAGUUUGCAUUCGGAUGAUGAAUCAUGCAUUAGGCAUGGCUGAGGCCAUUCUUGGGUCAGAUAGUUCAAAAGGAGAUUGCUUGUACCAGUCCCAUGGCAAUAUGUGCAUCUUUUCUUCUCUUGUUGCCUGACGUUUCUCACUUCAACCAACAUUAAAGCUGAGAUAACGCCAACCGCGCCACCUGAAAAGGAUGCCACUAUGGGGUCUACCUGACUGAACAGAAGACAACAAAAAUGUACCAAAUCACUUUUCUAAACACUGAUACAUAAAUACAGAAUUCACCAUCGAGAUAUAGGUUCUUCAAAGCACCUCAAUUGAAGAGGCAAGUGCAAGGUCCGUAUAAAAUCUUCAUAAGAUGUACCUCCAAGCCCUAAUUUCAGUUCAAGCUGCAUAUGAAGAAAGAUUGAUGACUUGCUAUAUCACCGCCCAUACUGAGAAGAUGCCUUGAAAAAAAAAAAAACAUGGAGUACAAACAUAAACCAUUGAGGUGCUUUGAAGAAUGAUGGCACUUACUACUGGGGCUAUCAAGCCUCCAAAUAUGAUUAUCCCAGAUAUGACAGAGAAUGAUGUCAUAUAGAGUUGCUUCAUUGUCUUUGCUGACUGUUUUGGGCAAACAAAAGAAAAAAAAUAACAGAACUUAGAACAACUUCAAAUGCCAAUGUGAUCAUUUUUCAGAAGUUUGUUGAGAGCUGUUGGUCACCGCAUGAGGCAUAAAUGGAAUAGUUGAUGGAAUCUCAGGCAUUUCAUUUUCUUCACUACUGGGACCUUUGCUUUCAGAAGUUCGGAUUCGCUGCUGCACUCGCAAUCGUCUGACCUGAUAACAUUUUCCAUACAUAGAUUAAUGAGAUGAGCCUCACCAUAUGGACCACCAAAAAAAUUGACCAACUGAUAUGCAUAAUGCCCAAAACAGAAACCUCUUCCAUUAGAAGGAAAAUUUUGUUGCGGCGGCUCUUGAUGUUGUUUUGAAUCUCAUGCGAUUGCAUCUGAACAAAGUCCUCGAUUGUCUCUGGACCUUCAAUUAUACAAAAGCUGUAGAGAAGAAACAUUAUCGAGCCUGUAAGACUGGGCCCAUAUGGAUUAGCAUAUGUCUUGUUCGACUAGAUUUCUAAGGAAAGGCUUACUCUGCGAGUCUACUUCGAAUUCAUAAGUUUUGCUUUUGUGCUCCCCACUAUGAAGUCAAUACUGUACGCUAUCAAUUUGAUCCGGCAUGUAAACAUCUUUCUUAUGAGUUAUGAUAUCUGGGUGAAUCUUUGAUGUGGUUUUCCCUCUAAGGUCACAAUUCAACAUUAAAACGUAAAACGCUCGAAAAGAUAUUUCUUAGAACAGAUCUCGCUUUAAGCUAACUGGACUAUAUAUGUUUCCAAGCAGCUUAUGUAGAUAUCUCGAAUUUGACGACCGGGUGCUCCGGUGCUACCGCCACGAAUAAGGGAAACAUGAUACCCGUAGCUCAAAACAACGCCAUUCCUGGGACCAUUUCCUAACGAAUGAAAACGGGAAAUUGCGAGGAUGAAGUUAAGUAAAGCAACCUGGAGACGCCGCCGUCGCCGGCCACCCUGGACUCGCCGGCCGGGGAGCACCGCUGCAGCACCAGCUGCCGCCGGCCGCACCCGGCACCGGGUCCUCCCCCUGCCGUUCCCCGCACCGCGCAAUGCAACCCCCGACCCGGAGGACGGGCACGCGAGGGAGGCGCCGCUACGAGCAGGCGCACCCUCUCCGGUGGCGGGGCCGCCGGCGGUGCAGCGAGGGAGGACAUGGCCGGCCAACCCGGGGGAGUUCCAAAGCCAGCCAGCCACCAAGCCAAGCGCGCGGCGUGGCCGUUGGGGGGACGUACGGAAGCUGGUGGUGACGGAGUUGGAUAGGCCCGCGCCGGCGGAGCGGGUCGGGUUCACGGGCCGUUUGCCAUUACCGCUCUACCGCGGUAGAUGACAAAGGUGGAAAGCCGCAGCAUCUCGCGACGGCGGCAUCGGAAUUUCCUCCCUUUUCUGGGCCCGUGAGUAAUGUACAAGAGCGAGCAAGUGGGAUGGUGGCGAAAAGUAGGUGGCGGCCGUGGAGAGCUAAGAAGCAGCGGGCUGUGAGUGAGUCGUGACGUUCCUCGACAGGACGACGCAAGGCUGUUACGCGUAUACUACGGUAUACCCGUCGGCAGGGGCGGAACCAGGAUAUGGACAAAGCAACUUGAGCUGAUAGUCACGUGAACUGAUUUUAGUCACAUAUAAUGAUAUAAUAAUAGCAUAUUUCACAAGUCUUAAUCAAAAUUAAAUUACAUAUCUAUCAACUUAAAUUUAGCUCUUCGAUUAGCAGCAAGAUCGUACGCUGUAAUAAUAUCAUCAGUACUGAUUGAUGCAGCUAAUUCCUUCUCAAUAUAAAUUACCAAACAAUAUCGCAGAAAUCCAUCUCCCAUUGUACAUCUGAGACGUGUCUUCGCAAGUUUCAUAGCUGAAAAGCAUCUUUCGGUGGUUGCAGUUGAUACUGAAAGAGUUAAUACUAAUCUUAAUAACAUGUCCACCAUAUUAUAAGAUGAAUAUUCUCCUAUUUUAAAUAGUCCACUUGUUUGAUCAGCAAGUGUUGAUAAUUCCUUUAGUUCUGGACUGUUGCAUACAUUAAUUUGAAAAUGUGGCAGCUGACAUUUCAAUUGAGCUCUUUCUUGACUUGAUUGAAAUGAGCUCUUUCUUGACUUGAGAAAUCAGCACGAUAAUAUUUUCCACCAGAGUGCAUAUAUUGUCUAUGUUGAAUGUGUCCAGCCUAGGAUCCAAAGAAACACAAAGGGACAAAAGCUCUGUCGCUUGAGAACUGAAUCGAUCUUCUAACUCUGCUAGUUGUUGAUCAAUUGCAACACUAAACACAUCUACUUUGUAAUGGUGAAAGGCUGUGGUGUUGUCAUUCUUGUUUCGAGAUUUAGUCACAUCAACAUACCUACAAAUGGGAAGAUAUGGAUUGAUUGAUGAACCAGUACAAUUUUACAAAAGAAUAAAUAAUUUGGAAAAAACCAUAUUUCUUACUCAGAUCCGGAAUAUCAAUCUCAUGCUUUCCACAAAACAAUUUGACCUCCUUAAGAAGAGGUUCCCAGCCAUUAUUUCGCAACUCACCAAGCCACACUUUUGUGGUAGAAACAGAAUCCACCGCAUUUAAGAUAUCAAUGCUCUUCUUUUGGAGUGUCUGGUACAACACAUUAGUGAUCUUCAUAAUCUUUUCCAUUAGGAGUAGACUAAACACAAAAUCAAAUGUGAUAAUGAUUCGUAAGACACCACUAGCAUCUCCCCGAGAAUACUUCGAAGCUGAACGAUCAUUAGCAAUGCUGCGUAGGACUGAAACUGUGGCACCAAACAUCUUUUUUAAGCUUAGAAUAGACCUAUAGUGGGAACUCCAUCUAGUGUCCCCUGGCCUUUGUAGGAAGGAAAUCUGAUUUGCCCCUCGCCCUGUGUUAAGCUCUCCCAAUUCAAUUUCAUGGGCAAUUUCCUCUGCUUGUUUUGCUAGCAACUCAUCAUUGCGCUUAGGAGAAGCAAUAACAACAUUUAUAAUGAAAUUUGCGUGCUGAAAAAAAUUGUGUACCUCAUGGACCUCCCUUGAUGCUGCUACAAGGGCCAACUGAAGCUGAUGAUCCAUGCAAUGAAUAUAAUAUGCAUAUGGGAACUCAUUGAGAAUUAGAGCUUUCAAUCCAUUCCACUCCCCUCUCAUGUUACUGGCCCCAUCGUAACCUUACCCUCUUAUAUCUUGUGUGCUUAGGCCAUUAGCUGAGAGGACAGCACAAAUUGACUCUUUAAAUAUCAAAGUUGUAGUAUCACUAACAUGAAUCAGAUCAAGGAAACGCUCCUUUAUAAGGCCUUCCUUGUUGAUAAUUGGAGGACUAUCGCCAUUUGCUCUUUUUUGACUCAUCUCAAGCUUCAUCAACCAUUAUGCAAAAUUUGCUAUUGUCAAUUUCUUUUCUAAUUGAUUUCUGCACUUUUCGAGCAAGUAUGCUUAGAAUUUCCUUUUGGAUAUAAGGUGAAGUGUAUUUUGCAUUUUUGGAGCAUUUUCCCAACAUAACCUCAUUAACCUCGGUGUUAUAGAAAGCCAAAAGCUUGACCAUUUCAAGAAAAUUACCUCUGUUUAAGGAAUCUGGAGAUUCACCAUGGCCUCUAAAGGGACAACCUUGGAAUGUCAACCACCUCAAGUUAAAUUUAAAUACUGCAGAAAGACAUGAGAAAUUGAUCUUAUUACCUAAUGCAAUCAAUUGUAGUCGCAAGCAUUCGUCUUCCUUUUGCAACCAUUAUCUCUUUUUGCUUAACAAGCACAUUGUCAAUUUGAGCCAUUGUGUUCUUAAGUUUAUUAAAACACCGAACAGAAUAAUUGUGGGAUGAGCCAACAUCUCCCACGUGUUUUAGAAAAGAACAUUCAUUUCUGCAAUUAACUGUUUUCCAGUUUUGAAACCACUUUACUAUGAAUGUAUCUAAUCCAGCUUUCCCAAUUGGCUUCUUGGAAAAUAAAAAAUAUGGCAGGCAGUAAGCACGAUUUGUAUGAGGUGAAUAUUCUAGCCAGGUAAAUUGCUUGAACCAGUUACUCUAAAUUCGACGACGAUGAGCUAAUUCACUGAGUGAGUACUCUACCAACACAGGUUGAUAUGGACCCUCUGAAAUAUAAAAUUUCCAAGCUUCAUCUCGUUGAUCAGCUGGCAAUUCCAAUAUUUGAACACGUUUACUAGGGUCUCUCUCAAAUCUAGUAGCAACAACUGGUGGAUGCUCGGCAACCUCGGCUUCGAUUGGCUCAGCGGUAGUAGCAACAUUACUCUGAUUAUUAGGAUUUUGUACAUGAUUAUUAUGAGUUUCCCCUUCCAUAUUAGGAGUUUCCACUUGGAUCGGCUUAAAAAAGCUAUUGAUGGUCUUUCUCUUCUUUAUAUUGUCUAAAAUUUGGAGCAAGAACAUGACUCAACAGCGAUAGAUAAAAAGUUUGGAGCAAGAAUCCAUCCGCUUUUGAGACAUUCAAUUGGAUUGGAAAGAAAAUCAUCUGUACAUGCAUCAUGAAAUACAAACAAAAAAUCCCCAAGAUCUAUAGCCUAGAAAAAUGAAGAUAGGAGAAAACAAAUGAACCACAGUCCACAGAGACGCUGCUGCGCAUUGGUCCAUCAUGGCAUCACGCCAUCAUCCUUCAUCCUUGACCUUGUCCUCAUGCUCAUGUGCGGAUGUGCCUAUUUGCUCGUUUUGACUGGCGACAGCGGAAUACGAAGUGACACGAAGUCACGAACGGCGGAACGGAGGGGCAACUGGCGUCUGGUGACUGCUACCGUGCCGUGCGCCAAGGGUUCAGAGCCUCAGAGGCUUCUUAAUUUUUUAUUGGGCCAGGCCCAAGCUAGCCAGGGGCAGGACUACAAGGGGGUGAAAGGCACCCAGGCUGCCAGGGGGUGCCAGGCAGAGCCGCAGAGGCCCAGGCCACAAGGGGCCAUUGCGGAUGCCGCAGAGGGUUAGGUUGUGCCAGGCCCCCCGUGCCCCCUCCCUCCGCCACCGCCCAUCAGCGUCCCUACUCCCUACCUCAAUGAAACACCGGUUGUUCGGAUGCCCGCUGCUAUUCCACCUUCCAAUUUAGGUAACCACAUACAAACAUACUUUCUCCGUCUCAAAUUAACUUUUGCUAUUAAUCUACAUAUACACUAUGCCUGUAAAAAAUAGUAAAAAUUAUACAUCUAGAAAUGCCAAAUGACUUACAGGCUACAAUUUGGAAUGGAGGGAGUAUAAUCUAAAUGAAGAAGUGUAUUACUACAUCACCAGAGGAAAUAAAAUAGCAAAGUAAUUCUUCCAUGGCUGGCUCGCUGAAAUCGGAGAAGACCGUAGAUUAGGGUUAAGAGUUCGGGGUUAUCGAGGAGGGCUCCAUAACCGAUGGGAUUAGAGAGAUGACUGGUGGCGGCGGUAGGCUUGGUGGAGGUGGUGAGGCCGUGCGGCGAUAGUGCCAUCGGCCAGGUGGUGGAGGACAUCCGGUGGCCGGUGCCGACGGGCAAACGGCAAGGCGGCGAGGUGACAACGGUGAGGCGGAGGAUGGCGAUGGGGGUGGAUCAUGCUGAGAGUGGCGGGGCGGGCGAAGAGUGGAGCUUGCCUAGAUGUUCUAUUUUUCCUUUUUUUUUGUGCAUGAGGCCUCCGUGUUGGGAGGGCUCUCCACUGAUUGUUAUCGGAAGAGCCCUCUCCCCGCCUCGUGUGGAAAAUCAUGGCAUCAAUUUCAUCAAAUCAAACAUUUUUCUGCAGCAUGAAAAAAUCAGGUCAAGCAAAUAUAUUUAGAGAGCUUUCGUAUGUUACGUCGGAAUCCUAGCUUGCAUAAUCCCAACUGCCUUUAACUGUAUUUAAAUGUGUGUUAUCAACUACAAACACAUUUAUAAAAGACAAUCUUGCUAAGGACUUAUAAAUUUCAACAUAUUAAUUUGGUUGGGUACGCUAAUCCUAACCAAAAGUGCAAUGGCUAGACGAUACUUAAGAAUCCUAGUGGCAAGUCACUAGGGUAAACCUUUCCAAAAAGGGAUGUGCUAGCGCACGGACGUCCGAUGGGAAAACAUUCAAAAAUAACAUCUGCUACAUAGAAAAUCAACAUUUGUAACAUCAAAAAUCAACGUUUGCAACAUCAAAGAACGUGUAAAAAACUUCUUAGUGAUUCGUUGAUGAUGGAAAAAGCCCGCCGCAACAUCUGUAUCAUGUUGCGUGCGAUAUUCAAUCUCGCAUUGGAAAAAAUGCAACAUCCGAAACUAACUAUUUCACCAUCAUAAAAAAUAUUGUGCAACAUCCAGAGUAACAUACCGAAACUUCAUGAAAGACAAACCAUUCAACAUCAAACUGAAAGACAAACCAUUCAACAUCAAACUAUCGAUUCAUGAAACAUCCCAUCCCAAUCAAAUGGCAGAUGCAACAUCGCAGAUCACAGGUGAAACAUCACAAAGUCAUUGUUGAAACAUCCCAAAAUCACGACUGCAACAUAUCAAAAGUCGAUUAAAAAAUCCCAAAAUCAUAGCUGGAACAUCACGAAAUCACAACUACACCGUGGUGGGGGGAGCACUGGUGUUGUCGAAUCGAGCUCUUCCAUCGUCGAAUCGAGCAUAUGUGCCACAAAAUUGGAGCGAGGAGAGCCGAUGUAGCCGCCCGAAGCUCGUUCGCCAUGGCUGCUACCCGAUGCUCCCCUACCAUAGCCUUCGCUCGGAGAUCCUCCAUAGCCUCCCAGAGCUGCCCCACCAUGGCCGCCGUCCGGGGCUCCUCCUUCGUAGCCCCCCAAAAUUUCCCUGCCACAACCCCCGCCCGCGGAGCUCCCCCCGCUGCCACUCGGUGAUGACCUCACCCACCUAGGCAUCCACCUCGGCCUCCAUCUGCAGCACGGGAUCGAGGGUCUUUCCUGGUGCAGCACCAACAAGACCUGGGCCACCACCGUUUGCUGCUAGAUGGGUUGCUGCUGGAAGCCUCCGUUGACCUUACCAGCUCAAGCAGCUGCAUCGGUGGGGACUGGAGAGCAGGAGCAUGUGGAAGCAGCAAGCAUCGAGAAGGGGGUUGCGUGCUAGGAGACGUGUGUGGAUAGGAAUGAUGAGGGGCAUGGGUGGAUAGGAAUGAUGAGGGGCGUGGGGGCAUGUGUUUUAUUUUUAAACCGACGGUAUGCGAUACUCAUUUGACGGUGGACGAGGCGUCCGAUUUUAGCUGGCACAUCGAAUGCCCGACUCUCAGCAUUACCAUUCUAAAAAGAUAAAUCACCACCUAAUUGAAGCGUCCCCACAUCAGCAGAGACUAAAUGUGAUGCAAAUAUCAAUCCCAGGAGGCUGAUAACACAUUUAUUCAACAGAUAGUUCAGUUACCGUACAACUCCCGAGGGAGUGGGCGUGAAAGCCAUGCAAUGAUAAGAAGCAAAUAAAUAAUAGCGGCUAACCAAGCGACUGCCAAAAGACAGCACUCGGGACUACACGGCAGCAGAAGCAUCUUGUGAAGGCCAACACACAUGCAGCGUUGGGUGCGGACACAACCUCCUACUCAAAGUCCUUGGCGACGAAGUCCGGGUCUUCCUCUGUAGCAACGAAGCAAGGGUGAGUACAAAAGUACUCAACAAGUCCAACCCCAUCCAUGGAGGGGGAUACACUCAAGUAUAUGCACAGGAUAUAAUAAGGAUAGGCUAAUGUUCAUUUGCAAUAAAGCUAGAUUUUCAUCACAUGCACGGGUUUGUUUUCAAAAGGGUUUUUUGGUAAAGCUUUUCCUUUAGUAACCGAGACAUUGAGUGGGGUUGAUCCUACACAAAGGAUCCAAAUUUUAUUACUAUCGGACUCCCCGUCCGCCAUAGCUCACGGCACAACUACCGGACACUUCCAAAAUCCAACACACACACCAUGAAACCAUCCAUUCCCAAGUGCUAGUUAUGUGACCAAGCCAUAACUCGUCCAAUGCCAUGGACACGGCUACCCGGAUAGGUUUUAACUCUGCAGAGGUUGUACACUUUUCCCACAAGUAGGCUACCGCAGCACGAUCACCUUAGUGCCGGUGCGGAUCCUAACAAAUCCAUUACCCACCUUAGCUAAGACUGAAUAGUCCACACGGAAACACCCAAGGGGUUAACGACCCAUCCACGAGGCCGUAACCGGGACCUAAGUCACCAAGAUCUUACUCCUUUUUCAUGGGCUUCCGUUGCUCACCAGCACACCCGAAGACUAACAGUUUAGCUAGUGGGAUUUAUGCUAAGCCGUUGCCCAUACAACGGUCGAGUGGUUGCACGAUGGUUGAAUUAGGCAAGAUGACACAUCAACUCGGUCCUUAACCAUGACAAGAUGGAUAUCUCCCAACCUUGCUCAACCACUAAGGUACGAGCACAAUAUUCUGGCAUUUCACACAAGAAACACUUAUCCAUCUCAUCUACACAUUCCUUGCCUUUGAACCCGGAAACCCAUUUUCCCAUUUGAACACACUCACGCAUUUGUUCUCUAAAUAAAUCAUUGUAAUCAUGAUUGAAUUUGAGUAACGAAUUCCUAAGAAUUCUAGCUGUAGUUAUCAUCUAAACAGAGCAAGUCAUAUUUAGAGAUAAAUAUAGGACAACAAGGAAUAAUCGUAACAAUCAAGGGGUGGCUAUCCAACCAUGUAUUGCAAUAAAACAAUAUGCAUUUUUAUAAAAUAGGCCAAUAGGUUGUGUUUGAAAAACUAGGAAUUGAAUAUGCAUCAAAGGGUGAGAUUGGACUUGCCGUCCUCAAAGCCUUCCGGGAGUUCCGGCUCGUGUUGCUGGUCCUCGGGCUCGGGCUCGCGAUCGAACUCCUCCUCGUGCUCCUCCUUGGGUACUCCGCGAUCUACGGCACACACAAACGGGCACACAAAAUAAAUAAAAGAAAAUACGAUUUUACCCGUUGAGCUCCGAACAGAGAACGCGAAUGAAAAAUAGGUAGAAUGAGUAUUUUCGAGAAAUUUGUAUAUGGAUCGGCGUGAGUAUACUGGAGGAUGUCGUGGUCGAAUUUGGGAUUAAUUGGAAGGAGUUUGGCGCAUGAAAUGACGAGUUAAACAUGGAUUAGGGCUUAAAAAGGAGGUUUAAGACUGAUUUGCAAGGAACCAGGGACCUAUUUGUAAAUACUUUUGGGAGUGGAGGGGCUGAUCUGUGAAAGGGGUAUGAGAGUGGUUGAAGGGCUUAUUUGAAAUUUUGGGAAAGGUGGGGGUUAGAUCGAAAUUUGGGGCUUCUUCUUCCUUUCUCCCUGUACCGUGAUAGGGGAGUUGGAGGGGAGGGGCGGCCGGCCUAGGGCGGCGGCCUAGGCUCGCCGGCGGCGAGGGGAGGCGGUAGGAGAGGGUAGAGGAGGCCGUGGGGGCUCCGUUUUGCCCGUUACCUCGGAGAUUUGGGAGGGGCAAGGGGGCGGCUGGUGGUGGUCCUUGGGCGGUGGCGCACGGCACGGUGGCGGUGGCGACUUGGCAGCGCGCAGGAACAAGGCGGGGAGCGGGGGUGUUGGCGACUGGGAGGUGGUGGAGGGGAGCUUGGCGUUGGGGCCUUUUAUAACCGGCGGAGGUGGCCGGCGGUAGGGGCCGGGUAAUGGCCGGCGGUGUGGGGACCGGCGGGCGGCGUGGUGGUGGCGGUGGGGCUCGGGCAGGCGCGGCCGUGGGCGCCGUGGUAGGGGACACCGGCGGCGGGGCGGGGCCGGAGGUGCGGGCGGUACGCGCGGGGAGGGGCCGGCGGUAAGCAGCGCCGGCGGGCGGCGCGGCGGGUGCGCCGGCGCCGGGUGCGCUGGAGCCCUGCGGGGUUGGAGCGAGCGGGGGCCGACGCCGGGGCUCAGGCACGGGGCUCGGGGCGUGCGGGUCCGAGGCGGCCGGACGGUAUGGCGCCAGGAGGAGUAUGGCGCCGGGGUAGCGUGCGCCAGGAAGAAGAAAGGAGGAGAGAGAAGGAAGGAGGAAUAAGAAAGAAGAAGAAGGAAGAAGAAAGAGAAGGAGAAAAAGAAAAAGAAAAGAGAGGAGGGAAAAGAGAAAAGAAAAUGGAAACCAGCUGCGAUUGCAGCACGCAAUCGGAGCACGUGCAGCGGUCUGUCGACCGGCACGCGGCGAAAAUUACGGGCAAGGAUAAAAUGAUGGCUGUCGGCUUGGGUGCCGGGACGGCGGAAUCGCCGGGAAGAUUUUAGAUUUCCGGGAGCUCAGCGGUAAAAAGAUUUUGAAAGUAAUUUUUAACGGGUGAUUUUAGUUGGUGAUUUUGCGGAUGUUACACUAAUUGCGCUAGUUUUUCCAACUAUCAUGUAGUUUUGCAAAAAAAAAGUCCCUAAUUUUUUCUACAACUACUCCGUGGAUAUCCGUGGACCUCCACAACUACUCUUUAUUAGAUCAUGGACCUAAGUACAUGAAUCUAUAUGAGAUCUCGGAAAUAGUUUACGAACCUAUGGUGAAAUUCACUCAAACGAAAUCGACGUGGAGAGAGAUGCCGAGAGGUUGGCGACUCGGCGUGCGGCUAUGGAGGUUGCCCGUGGGGGCGCUCGCCGCAGCGCUGCCUUGCUCGCAGGCUCCCUUCCACCGAGCCAUGGCUCUUCCGUGCAGGCUACUCAACUUGCGAGAGAGUUCCGCGCGCCACCAUCGAGAGGUCGCCUGCGUAGCCGUUCGCUCAAGCGCAGAUCCGCCUUCACCCUGAUGUUCGUUGAGGUGCCGGCAUCCACCGAGCACAGCUGCAGAACUCCAUGCGGGCCACAGGAGGCGGCCGCAUACCCCACCGCCCCAUGCAAACUAUCGUCGCGUAGCUCCGUCUUCGAUCCUCUGACCAACAGGAAGGUGGCGCCUCGACCAGCGCACACGCAAAAGCUCUCCCGGCGCAGCUCCUAAACAUUGAUUAGCAGUUGAUGCGAUAGCAGCUGGUAGUUCUUCUUGGAUUGAAUGGCUCGCGAAGGAGUAGAACAAGCUAAGGAUGGUGAUGGCUAGAGGAUUGAAUCGUGAAGGAAAAGAAUAGGGAAGUGAAGAGAUGGCCCGUGGAUUGAAACUGCCAACGGCAGCCCCUCUAGGCGCCGCGGUGCUAGCUCCGCUCAGGACCGACUGCCGUCCUGCCCUGCUCCUGACCGUGCAAGCGGCGCUGAGAGGCAUCCACUUAGAUGGAUACGGUUAGAUGAACCAGUUGACCACAAAUCCAUCCGAUUGAAGGAUGAGGCUUGUCAGCUUUACAUGAAAAUAUAUUAGGCCAAAACUAUAUGAGUUAUCCAUGGAGUAAAAUUAAUAGUACAACAAUAAAAAUAAUCUAAAGAACAUAAUAUAAUUAGUAUUUUACCGUAGCAACACACGAACAUUUUGCUAGUUUAACAACAAGGUAAGGAUAUAAUCCACAUAACAGAUACUAUGGGCGUGUUUGGGACUGCUUCGCUCCAAGUAUUGCAGCUCCGCUCCAGAUUCAUCUUGCCAAACACCUCCAGCUCCACUAGCACCAACUCCGAAAAAAGGUGGAUCUAGGGGCCAACUCUAAGAUUUUUCUGAAGCACCUCAAGGGGUGCUCUCAAAACACUAGUUUCAAACCUUCUCGUGGAGUUGGGGGUAAUUACCCACCAUGCCACCGGUUACACAGCGUACCAUUUCAAUUUUAGAAAAGAUACUCCUCAUCUGUCACCCUCUCAUCUCAUCAUGUCGCUCCUUCCCCCACCUCGCCGAACCUCCACCACCGCCACCUUAGCGAUGGCGCCACCCGGGCUCCAUGCCGGCCUCGCCAGUGACGUGCGCGGCUAGGUGGUUCCGGUUGGAGCCCUCCGGCAGGAACGCCUUCCACACCCAGUCCGAGCGUCGCAUGUUCGCCACUGGCGCCACGCCCUCCAUCCUCAUCUCAAUUGGAGUGCGCUUCUCGCCGCCAAAGUACGGCUGCAGCAGGAUGAUGCUGGCGAUGCAGAUGGGGGAGGAGGGAGCGGCUGUCCAGUGUUGCGUGACGUGGUGGGUGAGGUUGCCGCCCGCGCUGUCCUUAGCGAGGAAGUAGUGGGAGAGGUCGACUGGGACGACGAGGUCAGGGAGGCCGGUGGAGGUGAGGUACUAGAGCACGUCGAUGCCGUCAUCGUAGGCGGCGGGGUAUCGGUGCUCAAGGCGAGGCAGUAGUUGACACGAAGCGGUUGACCGUGGUGUCAGCCCGCUGCGCGAUAUCGAAGGCGGAGACGAGGUUGAAGAUCUUGAGCCGCACCGUCCAUGGUAGCGUCGGCGCGCUAGGCGCCGCGGCAUUCUUGCGUCUCUUUCAUGCUGGCUUCCAUCUCUCUCUCCCCAGCAAGCUCCUGGUGCUGUAGUUGCAGACGGCACUGAGCUCCCCUCCUGGAAAGACAAAGCCAAGGUGGCUGCCACUGAUGGGUGGUGGCACCUCUGGCCGUCAGAGUUGAACAGUGAUGGGCGUGGAGCUGAGUGCAAGAUGACUGCUGGGGCUGCACUAGCCGGCGAAGCGACGCCGCCACGCGUCGGGGCCACGUUUCCCUGCGGGCGUCGGGCUGCUGGGGCGUGCCGGCCAGCGGAGUGGCACCGCACACGCGCCGUGCCUUGUUGCACGCGCGGGCGCCGGCCUGGGGUGUCUGCGGAGCUCCUCCAUGGCCUGCGGCGAGGCCUCCGGCCGCCAGUGGUGGAGAAACCUGGCACUCCCUUCCCUCCUCGCGGGCUCCGAUCGAAGAACUCCUCCAAUGUACAAUAACGCGUGGAUCCCACAAUACAAGGGUAUAAUAGCCAAUGCACAUAAAAACAUCAUGUUCCUAGAGCUAGAGUCCUCUCAUUUGCCAAUCAGGUGCAACGGCUCCAUAUUUUGUGAAUUUGGUGGAGUGGAACUGAAGGAAGGUGGAGUUGGUAAAGAGGAGUUAUUUUUUUUUCGAAACGGAGCAGUCCCAAACAUAUCCUAUUUUUUUUUUAUGACGUCCUCCUCCCGCGUGCCCUCGCGGCCUCGCCGUUGGCUCCCGAUGUGGUACUAAAACCAUCUCCCAUGCUCCCGCAGCCCCACCGUGCUGGUGCAAAUUUGGGCCGCGUUUUAUUCUACGGGCCCGUUACUUAAAGUUCAAUGAAAGGAAGAAGGCGGCGGAAGGCCUGGCCUGGGUGGACCUCGGCGCUUUAUUACGUUGGGCCUGGAUCUCGGCUGUAACUUGCAAAAAGAAAAAAAAAAGAGAACUGCACGAUCACAAAAAGAAGGAAUUCCAAAAAGAAGUGCAACAGGCUCACAGAGUCACGGUAGCUACAUUCGCCCCCCCCCCAAAAAGGUCACGGUAGCUACAGUAGUACACAUCUUCAAGCCGUCACGGCUUCAUUUUUCUUUUUUUGACGAUGCCGUCACAGGUCACAGCAAGUGCCCGGGUAGAGGCUGAGAAGUUCGUUAGGCGCGAGAAGUGAAUGAAUCUCACAUGAUGACUGUAAAGUAACCUCCUCGUACUACAAAUACACGCGGCGGCGCACAUCGACAAAGACGUGAGCAGAGCACGCAGCGGACUGCGGAGCCACAGCCCACAGCCGCAGGUGACUCGACAUCGACGCGCCAGGCUCCAGCGCCUUCCUCCAAGCAUCCUUCGCCCAGGCCGAUCCAAUGGCUCCCCGCCUCACCCUCGUCGGGGCGCACCUCCUCCUCCUCGUUCUCGCCGUGUCGGGCGAGGGCGACGCGCCCCGCCUCCGCGGCUCCGUCGCCUGCCUCGACUGCGCCGCGGGACACGACCUCUCCGGUACGUACGCACGCACGGACGUACAGUUACAUGUACGCGACGUCGGACCGUGUCUUGCGUCUUCGUUGGAGGCAGAGCGUGACAUGCUUCCGUACGUGCCAGGUGUGGUGGUCGCGGUGAAAUGCGCCGGUGACGGCGGCGGCGCGGGCGCCCUCCACGCGGCGGAGACCGACGGCCUCGGCGCUUUCGACAUGGCCAUGCCAGCGGCGGUGUCGUCGUCCGGAGCCUCCGGCGCCACGCCGUGCGCGGCGAGGGUCCUCGGCGCCACGGAGCAGCUCUGCGCGCCGCGGGGGCUCGCGGUGGCGCGCGUCGUCCCGGCCCGGGCACCCGGCUCCUCCUCCUCCUCACACUUCGCGCUGGGCUCCCGCCUCGCCGUCUUCACGAGGUGCCGUCAAACUACCGGCGGCGGCUCGGCUGCCGCGACGACCAUGGACGCCCCUGACCGGCAGCAGGGGGACGCCCCGCGGGUGGCGGCGCCAAGAAGGCCCAUGCCCCCGGCAAUGCAGACGCCGCCGGUAGUGAGCGCUCCCCCGCGCGCUGGAGGGAACGGCAGCCCGCCCUUCGGCAUGGGAGGGGGACUGCCGCUCAUCUACUUCUUCCCGUUCAUCCCCAUCAUCGGGAUCCCCUGAAGCCUGAAUGAACUGUAGUGCCGUGUGCCGUCUCCGAAGCACAACUGCUUAUAUUUGCGUCUCGUGUCUCAGGUAUCCAGGAUAGUAUGUUACUGCAUGCGCGCGUAUCACAGCAAGAAAUAAUGCGAAGCGACCUUCUGUUUCAGAAUCAGAAUCAACGAGUGCAAGUUUCGUUUCCAUUACAAAUUCACAAUGCAACGUGGCAUUCUACCUUCAUUUAGAAAAUCCGUUACACUAUGUCUCUGGAAAUUAUGUUACUCUCUUCAAAUAUAGACAUGGGAAGAAAUAUCAAUGAGGUGGCAUGGGAAGAAAUAUUCCGAUGGAGGGGAAAUGAAAAUUUUAGAUGACAAAUAAGGAAAUGUUUAAAUUUUAAUGACGUGCCGAGUGCCUUGUCUCAUAUUUGCGUCUCAUGAGUCACGUACGUCUUAGGUAUCCAAUAUAGUAUGUCACCGUAUGAGCGCGUAUAACAGCAACAAAUAAUGCGAAGCGACCUUCUAUUCCAGAAUCAACGAGUGCAGGUUUCGUUUUCAUUACAAAUUGACAAUGCAACUGUGCCAUCCUACCUUCAUUUUGAAAAUUCGCUAUAUGUCUCUAGAAAUUAUGUUACUCCCUUUUGUGUCAUGAUGAAAAAUAAUUUACCUGUAUCCCGCUGGUUUACUUGCUUGGUUUGAUAGGAGAAAUCGGAUGGCAUCGAUCCUGGCACAAAGCCAACCGUACUGGACGUACAGUUUAGCAGUGCUCAUAUACUCUAACGGAAGUAAUAGAGAUGGCAUGGGAAGAAAUAUUCCAGUGGAGGGGAAAUAAAACUUUUAGAUGACAAAUAAGGAAAUGUUAACAUUUUUUAUGACAUGCCCGAAAUUCUGUCUUCAAAUAUAGACAGUCAACAGCCUCCUGCUCGCCGUGGUCCAGGUUCUGCCUGCUCAAACCAGCCCGCGAGCAGUGCUCAAAGCCUCAAAUCACCACACGAGCAGAGCUUCACCAACAACCAAGGUAAUGGAACGAACACAAUAACACAACAGAUGUACUGCCUUUUAGACAAUUGCCACCUCCAUCCCAAAUUACUAUUCUUGAAAUACAUACAUCUAAAUCCAUUUCAAAAGUCGAAUAGUAAUUUGGGAUGGAAGGAGUAUAAAUGAAAGGAUUUAGCUUCGAACUAAUACAAUUUCAAUUUAAAUCAAGUUGCAAGAUAUGGUUUCAAGUUCUAGUUCACAGUACAAGGAGCAUCAGUAAGAUUUCGGGACAAUCACUAUGAGCAAGAUAAUGCAACCCAUCAAAGUUUUUGUCACAAUUCCAAGUAAAACUCUCAAGAAACUGCAGCAAGAUUGCCUCUCACAUGCCGCAGGAGAUACGGCACAAAA